UCCCAUCCUUCUGUUCAAAUGUUAUGUUGCUAUUUAUUCUCAACAGGAAAGGAGCACAAAAUAGAACUGCUUUUAGAAUGGAUGCCAGCUGGAGGGUUUUUCCCUAUCAUUUCCGAGUUGUGAGAACAGGGAAGGUGGGGUGGUGUGACCCUUUCUCUGGGGCUGUUGAGGUGGGACAGGCACCCUCAGGAGUGUGCUCUGCUGAGGCACAACCUGGGGAGUAGCUUCCUGCACCCACCUGGGGGAUCUGAGAGCCUAAAAGAGCCAGAGCCCCAGAACCGGCCUGCCUUUGGCAUGGACCCUGGACAGUUCUUUCUUUGCAGGGUACGAGGCCUCCCUCUCCCAUCUCCAGACCAGGAGGGGAACCCUGGAAAGGCAGCAUUGCUAACCCUUGUGGAGAGAGCCCUGACGGAGCAAGAGCCUGUCUCAGAAGACAAACCAACCAACAAACAAAAGCCAACACAGGAGAAGGGGGCAGGAUGCGGGCUUCCUACUUCUCUCUACCCUUAGUGAGUAUGCAUUUUGCUAAGGAUCAAGUAUUGGUGCCCUCCAUGGACACCACAAGGAAGGGAGCGACUCCUGCAGGCUUCUUUGUGUAGCUCUGGGGUCUAGAAGGACUGAUUCUGGCCAGAAACAACAAGACCUCUUUCUUGGGCAUGAGGCUGGGGUGGGGGCUCCUCUAAGCCUCUUAAGAGGUACCUGGGGCCGGGCACGGUGGCUCACACCUAUAAUCCCAGCAUUUUGGGAGGCCAAGGUGGGUGGAUCACCUGAGGUCAGGAGUUUGAGACCAGUCUGGCCAACAUGGCAAAACCCUG
rnacentral:lncRNA from 1 species